GACGAACGCUGGCGGCGUGCUUAACACAUGCAAGUCGAACGGAAAGGCCCUGCUUUUGUGGGGUGCUCGAGUGGCGAACGGGUGAGUAACACGUGAGUAACCUGCCCUUGACUUUGGGAUAACUUCAGGAAACUGGGGCUAAUACCGGAUAGGAGCUCCUGCCGCAUGGUGGGGGUUGGAAAGUUUCGGCGGUUGGGGAUGGGCUCGCGGCUUAUCAGCUUGUUGGUGGGGUAGUGGCUUACCAAGGCUUUGACGGGUAGCCGGCCUGAGAGGGUGACCGGCCACAUUGGGACUGAGAUACGGCCCAGACUCCUACGGGAGGCAGCAGUGGGGAAUAUUGCACAAUGGGCGGAAGCCUGAUGCAGCAACGCCGCGUGCGGGAUGACGGCCUUCGGGUUGUAAACCGCUUUCGCCUGUGACGAAGCGUGAGUGACGGUAAUGGGUAAAGAAGCACCGGCUAACUACGUG
rnacentral:rRNA from 1 species